rnacentral:snRNA from 1 species
UGUGAUGUUAUAUUGCUUUCAAGGCCUUCCUUAAGACCUGAAGAACAAUUUUUGGAAACCCUCUCCUUCAUUGGGCAGGGUG